CUAUACAUGCAGUCGAACGAGUUCUGAUUAUUGAAAGGUGCUUGCAUCUUGAUUUAAUUUUGAACGAGUGGCGGACGGGUGAGUAACACGUGGGUAACCUGCCCUUAAGUGGGGGAUAACAUUUGGAAACAGAUGCUAAUACCGCAUAAAUCCAAGAACCGCAUGGUUCUUGGCUGAAAGAUGGCGUAAGCUAUCGCUUUUGGAUGGACCCGCGGCGUAUUAGCUAGUUGGUGAGGUAACGGCUCACCAAGGCAAUGAUACGUAGCCGAACUGAGAGGUUGAUCGGCCACAUUGGGACUGAGACACGGCCCAAACUCCUACGGGAGGCAGCAGUAGGGAAUCUUCCACAAUGGACGCAAGUCUGAUGGAGCAACGCCGCGUGAGUGAAGAAGGCUUUCGGGUCGUAAAACUCUGUUGUUGGAGAAGAAUGGUCGGCAGAGUAACUGUUGUCGGCGUGACGGUAUCCAACCAGAAAGCCACGGCUAACUACGUGCCAGCAGCCGCGGUAAUACGUAGGUGGCAAGCGUUAUCCGGAUUUAUUGGGCGUAAAGCGAGCGCAGGCGGUUUUUUAAGUCUGAUGUGAAAGCCCUCGGCUUAACCGAGGAAGUGCAUCGGAAACUGGAAAACUUGAGUGCAGAAGAGGACAGUGGAACUCCAUGUGUAGCGGUGAAAUGCGUAGAUAUAUGGAAGAACACCAGUGGCGAAGGCGGCUGUCUGGUCUGUAACUGACGCUGAGGCUCGAAAGCAUGGGUAGCGAACAGGAUUAGAUACCCUGGUAGUCCAUGCCGUAAACGAUGAAUGCUAGGUGUUGGAGGGUUUCCGCCCUUCAGUGCCGCAGCUAACGCAUUAAGCAUUCCGCCUGGGGAGUACGACCGCAAGGUUGAAACUCAAAGGAAUUGACGGGGGCCCGCACAAGCGGUGGAGCAUGUGGUUUAAUUCGAAGCAACGCGAAGAACCUUACCAGGUCUUGACAUCUUUUGAUCACCUGAGAGAUCAGGUUUCCCCUUCGGGGGCAAAUGACAGGUGGUGCAUGGUUGUCGUCAGCUCGUGUCGUGAGAUGUUGGGUUAAGUCCCG
rnacentral:rRNA from 1 species